rnacentral:rRNA from 1 species
GACGAACGCUGGCGGCGUGCUUAACACAUGCAAGUCGAACGGAAAGGCCCUGCUUGCAGGGUACUCGAGUUGCGAACGGGUGAGUAACACGUGGGUGAUCUGCCCUGCACUUCGGGAUAAGCCUGUGAAACUGGGUCUAAUACCGGCUAGGAGCCAUUUUUAGUGUGAUGGUUGGAAAGUUUUGUCGGUGUAGGAUGAGCUCGCGGCCUAUCAGCUUGUUGGUGGGGUAAUGGCCUACCAAGGCGGCGACGGGUAGCCGGCCUGAGAGGGUGGACGGCCACAUUGGGACUGAGAGACGGCCCAGACUCCUACUGGAGGCAGCAGUGGGGAAUAUUGAACAAUGGGCGCCAGCCUGAUGCAGCGACGCCGCGUGGGGGAUGACUGCCUUAGGGUUGUAAACUCCUUUCGCAAGGGACGAAGCUUUUUGUGACGGUACCUAGACAAGAAGCACCGGCUAACUACGUG